UACGUAGGGUGCAAGCGUUGUCCGGAAUUAUUGGGCGUAAAGAGCUCGUAGGUGGCCUGUCGCGUCGGCUGUGAAAUCCCCGGGCUCAACCUGGGAAUGGCAGUGGAUACUGGCAAGCUAGAGUGCGGUAGAGGAUAGUGGAAUUCCCGGUGUAGCAGUGAAAUGCGUAGAGAUCGGGAGGAACACCAGUGGCGAAGGCGGCUACCUGGACCAGCACUGACACUGAAGCACGAAAGCGUGGGGAGCAAACAGG
rnacentral:rRNA from 1 species